rnacentral:rRNA from 1 species
AUACGGAGGAUGCAAGCGUUAUCCGGAUUUAUUGGGUUUAAAGGGUGCGUAGGCGGUUUGCUAAGCGGGAGGUGAAAUGCCGGCGCUCAACGUCGGAAGUGCCUCCCGAACUGGUGGACUUGAAUGACUCUGCCGUGGGAUGAAUGUGUAGUGUAGCGGUGAAAUGCUUAGAGAUUACACAGAACACCGAUUGCGAAGGCAUCUCACGAAGGGUUGAUUGACGCUGAGGCACGAAAGCGUGGGGAUCAAACAGGAUUAGAUACCCUGGUAGUCCACGCAGUAAACGAUGAUGGCUAACCGCUGGGCUUAUCAGUUCAGUGGCCAAGCGAAAGCGAUAAGCCAUCCACCUGGGGAGUACGACCGCAAGGUUGAAACUCAAAGGAAUUGACGGGG